UCCUGCAGCAACUCUCAGCGAUCUGCAAUGAUGACUGGGCGGAUCAUACGUUGUGGUGACCGGAGUGGAUGAAGCCGGGCCACGUACGUUAUAAAUACAGGUCCUGGAUCGGGCGAGGCUCCGCCCAGUGCGCCCGGGCAGGGUUAAUGUCUUACAUCACUGUAGCUUACAUAAAACAUGAGUCCCGCGGGGGAGGGGCAGCCGCUCAGCAUUGGCUCACCAGGGCUAAAGUCAGUGCAAAAUGGGCAGAGGCUCUGGAAACUGACCCCCCCCAGAGUGUUUUCUGGAGGCGGAGCACGUUCUGUACAAGGUAUAAGGAGGAGUCCAGCUCGGUUUUUUGGGGGGGUGUUAGUGUAA